AACGGCCGCGGUACCCUAACCGUGCGAAGGUAGCAUAAUCACUUGUUCUUUAAAUAGGGACUCGUAUCAACGGCAUCACGAGGGCUAUACUGUCUCCUCUCUCCAAUCAGUGAAACUGACCUCCCCGUGAAGAGGCGGGGAUUAUUAUAUAAGACGAGAAGACCCCAUGGAGCUUAAAACCCAAUAUACACCUCUACGCAUGUAAACCUCUCUAGCCCAAGAAAUUUGUAUGUUGGUUUUGGGUUGGGGGGACCGCGGAGAAAAAAUUAACCUCCACGACAAAUAGGCCAACGCCUUAAUCCAUGAACUACAAUUCUAAGAAUCAAUAAACUGAUGUUUAAUGACCCAAUUAUUUGAUCAACGAACCAAGUUACCCUGGGGAUAACAGCGCAAUCUACUUCAAGAGCCCCUAUCGACAAGUUAGUUUACGACCUCGAUGUUGGAUCAGGGUAUCCUAGUCAUGGUCUAGCCAGUCCACCCAAGCAAAAUGAAACUUUUAGUUUGACACCCCGAAACUAAGCGAGCUACUUAAAAACAGCCAAAAGGGCCAACCCGUCUCUGUUGCAAAAGAGUGGGAAGAUUUUUAAGUAGAGGUGAAAAGCCUACCGAGCUUAGAGAUAGCUGGUUGUUCAGGAAAAGAGUUUAAGCUCUACCUUAAAUUUAUUUGUGCCCCGAACACACCCCGAAAUUUAAGAGCUAUUCAAAUAAGGCACAGCUUAUUUGAAGCAGGGUACAACCUCCAACACCGGGUAAGCAUGGGGGGCCCAAACAAAGUGGGCCUAAAAGCAGCCACCUUUUAAAAAGCGUUAAAGCUUAACCACUAUCUCCCCCUCAAUCCCUUAAUCAACUUCUAACCCUUCAUCACUACUGAACUACUUUAUAAAAUUAUAAAAGCAAUUAUGCUAGAACUAGUAACAAGAAAACGCCUUUCUCCUUAAUGUAAGCAUAAACCAAAAUGGACCCACCAUUGGUAUUUAACGUAUUUAUUCUAAUUAUAGCAACCCCGCUAGAAAAUCCUAUAAGUACUCACGUUAACCUCACACUAGCUCAUUACAGGAAAGAUUAAAAGAGAAGAGACUCGCAACC
rnacentral:rRNA from 1 species